rnacentral:rRNA from 1 species
AGUGAACGCUGGCGGUAGGCCUAACACAUGCAAGUCGAACGGCAGCACAGUAAGAGCUUGCUCUUACGGGUGGCGAGUGGCGGACGGGUGAGGAAUACAUCGGAAUCUACUUUUUCGUGGGGGAUAACGUAGGGAAACUUACGCUAAUACCGCAUACGACCUACGGGUGAAAGCAGGGGAUCUUCGGACCUUGCGCGAUUGAAUGAGCCGAUGUCGGAUUAGCUAGUUGGCGGGGUAAAGGCCCACCAAGGCGACGAUCCGUAGCUGGUCUGAGAGGAUGAUCAGCCACACUGGAACUGAGACACGGGCCAGACUCCGACGGGAGGCAGCAGUAGGGAAUAUUGGACAAUGGGCGCAAGCCUGACGCAGCCAUGCCGCGUGAGUGAAGAAGGUCUUCGGAUUGUAAAGCUCUUUUGUUAGGAAAGAAAAGAAGCGGGUGAAAACCCGGCUGUUCCGACGGUACCCAAAGAGAAAGCACCGGCUAACUUCGUG